rnacentral:rRNA from 1 species
UACGUAGGGAGCAAGCGUUGUCCGGAAUCAUUGGGCGUAAAGCGCGCGUAGGCGGCCCCGUAAGUCCGCUGUGAAAGUCAAAGGCUCAACCUUUGAAAGCCGGUGGAUACUGUGGGGCUAGAGUACGGAAGAGGCGAGUGGAAUUCCUGGUGUAGCGGUGGAAUGCGCAGAUAUCAGGAGGAACACCAAUAGCGAAGGCAGCUCGCUGGGACGUUACUGACGCUGAGGCGCGAAAGCGUGGGGGAGCGAACAGG